rnacentral:rRNA from 1 species
AAUGAACGCUAGCGGCAUGGAUUAGGCAUGCAAGUCGAACGGUCUCUUCGGAGAUAGUGGCGUAAGGGUGAGGAACACGUGAAUUAUCUACCUCGAAGUUCGGAAUAGCCCAGAGAAAUCUGGAUUAAUACCGGAUGUGCUAACUUGUUAGUAAAGGUUUACUGCUUCGAGAUGAGUUCGCGUCCCAUCAGCUUGUUGGUAGGGUAACGGCCUACCAAGGCUCUGACGGGUAGCUGGUCUGAGAGGAUGGUCAGCCACACUGGGACUGAGACACUGCCCAG